GACGAACGCUGGCGGCGUGCUUAACACAUGCAAGUCGAACGGAAAGGCCCUGCUUGCAGGGUACUCGAGUGGCGAACGGGUGAGUAACACGUGGGUGAUCUGCCCUGCACUUCGGGAUAAGCCUGGGAAACUGGGUCUAAUACCGGAUAGGAGCCAUUUUUAGUGUGAUGGUUGGAAAGUUUUUUCGGUGUAGGAUGAGCUCGCGGCCUAUCAGCUUGUUGGUGGGGUAAUGGCCUACCAAGGCGGCGACGGGUAGCCGGCCUGAGAGGGUGGACGGCCACAUUGGGACUGAGAUACGGCCCAGACUCCUACGGGAGGCAGAAGGGGGGAAUAUUGCACAAUGGGCGCAAGCCUGAUGCAGCGACGCCGCGUGGGGGAGGACGGCCUUAGGGUUGUAAACUCCUUUCGCUAGGGACGAAGCUUUUUGUGACGGUACCUAGAUAAGAAGCACCGGCUAACUACGUG
rnacentral:rRNA from 1 species